UCCAAAGCUUAUGUAAAAAGAGAGUCAGUAUGUUGAAUAUUGUCAUUUUUAUCUGUGUAUGUUUACUUAUGUAAUUGUUAAUAAUGAUAUGUGUGGAUCAUUUGACCAUACCUUAAAAUAUCUAAAAUAUUUAAAAGUGCCAGAGCCACAUAAGAGGUCAGUCCUAGAAGAGAAGGCACAAGAGGUCAUUCCUAAAAAAGAGGAAGCACCUCCAGUUAAAGUGCCGGAAGCACCUAAGAAGAUUAUUCCUGAAGAAAAAGCACCAAAGGUUGUCCCACAAGCACCAACCCCUAAAGUGCCAGAGCCACCA